UAUUGGGGCAUAAUUGAGUGCUUUGCUUAUGGAUAUUUGCAAGCAAAGGUUAAACCAACCGGACUACCUGAGGGUCAUGCUUGAUGCUAAAGGCUGGAAGACAUAAGAAUAGGCAAAUGUAGCCGGGCUUUCUUACUUUGGUACAGUAGUAUAAGUGUUAUAGGGUUUUUAGAGAAAGAUUCUUUGUGUCAAUGAUACUGUAAAUCUGUAAAACAUUUUUUAUCAACCUGAAGAUAAUGAGGAAAGGGGAAAUGAUAGGAAAGUGCUCAAUCAAGUUGUUGCAAUACUGUUAAAGUUUUUAUCAAAAAUAUAGUCCCAGUUUCUUUUUUCUCUCUCUAUUGACUAUUUUUAUAUGCAAUUGAUAAAUAUUUCCUGUUUACCCUCUGCACCCUGAAUAAAUUAAAAUAGGUUAGGUUUGAAAUUAGACAUUUUCAUUUAGCACUAAUCAGUAAUAUCAAGAAUUUGUUUUUAAUUUGCUUCCCAAGUCAAUUUGUUCUCCUCCAUUUGAUUGCAUUUAAUUUUCUAGUAGCAUUAGCAUGUGUGGAUCCAGCUGCAGGGUUUCUAUAAAAAGAAAUAAAAACAGCAGGCCACCAUGCUAAAGGGUGGGUUCACCAAUAUGUAAUGCAUGACUGAGGUAUAUUUGUGGAUUUUAAUUUCCUUGGUGAUGGAGUAUCACUAGUAAGUGGCACCUGAAGUGUAUCUAACUAUAUCAUUCUAUAUUUGGAAUGCUGUUUCAUCCAUUAUUUGUUUCUUUGCAAGGGCAAAGCCGGUCAGAAUGUACCUAGUGCUAGUGUAGUAGUGUACAUGAAUGGAACUUCUAUAAAAGGGUUUUUAUUAGGGCAAGGUACUUACUUAAUAAAUUAUAUAAAGAUAA